GCCACCUAUUGACACUAACGCUUCUGGAAAACAGCGUCAUUUCAAAAAUAAGGUGUUCCACUCAGAUCAUCCGGCUAAGGACAAGUGGUAAAAGACAAAACUAACAAAGGAAAAAGACAAGGAAAAAGAGACUAGAAGUUCAAGAUAAUAUUUUAAAAUUUUUACAGAUUUUCAAGGACUUGUGAGGGAAUUCUUCAGCUGUGUUUUAUAAAAGUUUGUUCUGAAAUUCUCGAACUCAACAAGACAUUAUUUUAAGUGACCUUAAUAAAUUUAGAAAAUUGUUGAUUUAUUACCAAAAUAGAAAUUUUUAAAAGUAAUAAACAUAUUUACAGCUGAUAAGAAUUGUCAUUAUAAA